GAGGGAUCGGCGGCAUCGGCGCGCUCGGCCGGGGCCGCCAGCGGGGCCGGGGCCUCGGCGGGGAGGCGGCGGCACCGGCGCCAUGUCGGAUCAGCAGUUCGCUCUGGACUCGGCGGCGGUGGCGGCUGGCGCCGGGGGCAGCGCGGCGGAGCCGGCGGAGCAGCCUGAGGGGCAGGCGGGGGCGGGCAGCACCGAUGGGGCAGGCGGCGGCGGCGGCGGGGCCGAGUCGGAGGGAGCCAAGAUCGACGCCAGCAAGAACGAGGAGGACGAGGGGAAAAUGUUCAUUGGUGGCCUCAGCUGGGACACAACAAAGAAGGAUCUGAAGGACUACUUCUCCAAGUUUGGUGAAGUUGUAGACUGCACUCUGAAGUUGGACCCCAUCACUGGGAGAUCGAGAGGCUUUGGCUUUGUGCUCUUCAAAGAGUCUGAGAGUGUGGAUAAGGUCAUGGACCAGAAGGAACACAAGCUGAAUGGAAAGGUCAUUGAUCCAAAAAGAGCUAAAGCCAUGAAAACAAAAGAACCUGUUAAAAAGAUCUUUGUUGGGGGCUUAUCUCCAGACACACCUGAAGAGAAAAUACGGGAAUACUUUGGAGGUUUUGGUGAGGUUGAAUCCAUAGAGCUCCCCAUGGACAACAAAACUAACAAGAGGCGUGGAUUUUGCUUCAUUACUUUCAAGGAGGAGGAACCAGUGAAGAAAAUAAUGGAAAAGAAAUACCACAAUGUUGGGCUUAGUAAAUGUGAAAUCAAAGUAGCCAUGUCAAAGGAACAGUACCAGCAGCAGCAGCAGUGGGGGAGUCGGGGAGGAUUUGUUGGAAGAGCUCGAGGGAGAGGUGGAGGCCCCAGUCAGAGCUGGAACCAGGGAUACAGCAACUACUGGAAUCAGGGCUAUGGGAACUAUGGUUACAACAGCCAAGGCUAUGGAGGUUAUGGAGGAUAUGACUACACUGGUUACAACAACUACUAUGGAUAUAGCGACUAUAGCAAUCAGCAGAGUGGUUAUGGAAAAGUAUCUCGGCGAGGUGGUCAUCAAAAUAGCUACAAACCAUACUAAAUUAUUCCAUUUGCAACUUACCCCAAACAGCGGGAACUUCCUUGCAGGCCCUGUGUCGCGCUGACUUCACGAUUCUCACAGGCCCGCUCAAUGCGGACAGGGUACGAGAUGCUCACGCUCUCGAAUGCUGCCGUUUGGUGGAGAUGCAGUAUUUUCUCAUUUGAAGAUUCAUUUGAGGUGGCACAUGCUACCUGCUAAUAGCAGUUGAAACUAAUUUUUGUAUCAAGUCCAUGAAUUGGAAGUAAGACGUUGGGUCCCUCUGAAGUUUAAUUGAGUUUUCAUUAAGAAAAAAUUGCUUUCAUGGUCUUAUUUCUUAAUUGCUAUGCUUAAGAAUCAAUUUGUUUUAUGCCCCUUCCUCAGUAUUGUAGCUCAAGUCUUGUGUUCCAAAGCCCAGUGUGACAGUGUCAUGAUGUAGUAGUGUCUUACUGGUUUUUUAAUAAAUCUUUUUGUAUAA